rnacentral:rRNA from 1 species
UGCCAGACUCCUACGGGAGGCAGCAGUGGGGGAUAUUGCACAAUGGGGGGAACCCUGAUGCAGCGACGCCGCGUGGGUGAAGAAGCGCCUCGGCGCGUAAAGCCCUGUCAGCAGGGAAGAAAAUGACGGUACCUGAAGAAGAAGCCCCGGCUAACUACGUGCCAGCAGCCGCGGUAAUACGUAGGUGGCAAGCGUUAUCCGGAUUUACUGGGUGUAAAGGGCGUGUAGGCGGGAAAGCAAGUCAGAUGUGAAAACCAUGGGCUCAACCUGUGGCCUGCAUUUGAAACUGUUUUUCUUGAGUACUGGAGAGGCAGACGGAAUUCCUAGUGUAGCGGUGAAAUGCGUAGAUAUUAGGAGGAACACCGGUGGCGAAGGCGGCCUGCUGGACUGCAACUGACGUUGAGGCCCGAAAGCGUGGGGAGCAAACAGGAUUAGAUACCCGAGUA